GACGAACGCUGGCGGCGUGCCUAAUACAUGCAAGUCGAACGAACCGCGACUAGGUGCUUGCACUUGGUCAAGGUGAGUGGCGAACGGGUGAGUAACACGUGGGUAACCUACCUCAUAGUGGGGGAUAACAGUCGGAAACGACUGCUAAUACCGCAUAGGACAUAGGAUCACAUGAUUCUGUGAGGAAAGGUGGCGCAAGCUAUCGCUAAGAGAUGGACCCGCGGUGCAUUAGCUAGUUGGUAGGGUAAAGGCCUACCAAGGCGAUGAUGCAUAGCCGACCUGAGAGGGUGAUCGGCCACAUUGGGAUUGAGAAACGGCCCAAACCCCUACGGGAGGCAGAGGGAGGGAAACUUCCGCAAUGGACGCAAGUCUGACGGAGCGACGCCGCGGGAGUGAAGAAGGUCUUCGGAUCGUAAAGCUCUGUUGUUAGAGAAGAACAGCGCAUAGAGUAACUGUUAUGCGUGGGACGGGAUCUAACCAGAAAGCCACGGCAAACUACGG
rnacentral:rRNA from 1 species